GACCAAAGGGAUUAAACGGGAAGUCGGUGCAUAUUUGCUUAUUAUAUAGUGUGGCAAGUAUAACCCCGACGCUGCCCCCGCAACGGUAAGUGAGUAACGGCGAUUCAUACAGCCACUGCGUUUUUUUACGUGGGAAGGCGAACCGCCUGGUAGACAUACCUCUCGCGAGUCCGGAGACCGGCCUGAAGCCGU
rnacentral:ncRNA from 1 species